GGUCCGUUGGUCAAGGGGUUAAGACACCGCCUUUUCACGGCGGUAACACGGGUUCGGAUCCCGUACGGACUA
rnacentral:tRNA from 1 species